rnacentral:rRNA from 1 species
CCUACGGGAGGCAGCAGUGGGGAAUAUUGGACAAUGGGCGAAAGCCUGAUCCAGCAAUGCCGCGUGAGUGAUGAAGGCCUUAGGGUUGUAAAGCUCUUUUACCAGGGAUGAUAAUGACAGUACCUGGAGAAUAAGCUCCGGCUAACUCCGUGCCAGCAGCCGCGGUAAUACGGAGGGAGCUAGCGUUGUUCGGAAUUACUGGGCGUAAAGCGUACGUAGGCGGUUAUUCAAGUCAGAGGUGAAAGCCCGGGGCUCAACCCCGGAACGGCCUUUGAAACUAGGUAGCUAGAGUCUUGGAGAGGUUAGUGGAAUUCCGAGUGUAGAGGUGAAAUUCGUAGAUAUUCGGAAGAACACCAGUGGCGAAGGCGACUAACUGGACAAGUACUGACGCUGAGGUACGAAAGCGUGGGGAGCAAACAGGAUUAGAUACCCUGGUAGUCCACGCCGUAAACGAUGAUAACUAGCUGUUCGGGCACUUGGUGCCUGAGUGGCGCAGCUAACGCAUUAAGUUAUCCGCCUGGGGAGUACGGUCGCAAGAUUAAAACUCAAAGAUAGUACGACGNGAGAGAGCGACGACGACGACGACGGAGGAGAG